rnacentral:rRNA from 1 species
UAGGGAAUUUUCGGCAAUGGGGGAAACCCUGACCGAGCAACGCCGCGUGAGCGAAGAAGGCCUUCGGGUCGUAAAGCUCUGUUGUAAAGGAAGAACGGCGCAUACAGGAAAUGGUAUGCGAGUGACGGUACUUUACCAGAAAGCCACGGCUAACUACGUGCCAGCAGCCGCGGUAAUACGUAGGUGGCGAGCGUUAUCCGGAAUCAUUGGGCGUAAAGAGGGAGCAGGCGGCCGCAAGGGUCUGUGGUGAAAGACCGAAGCUAAACUUCGGUAAGCCAUGGAAACCGGGCGGCUAGAGUGCGGAAGAGGAUCGUGGAAUUCCAUGUGUAGCGGUGAAAUGCGUAGAUAUAUGGAGGAACACCAGUGGCGAAGGCGACGGUCUGGGCCGCAACUGACGCUCAUUCCCGAAAGCGUGGGGAGCAAAUAGG